AAGUCGUAACAAGGUUUCCGUAGGUGAACCUGCGGAAGGAUCAUUAUUGAAAAGGGAACCCUUCGGGGUUCAACCUUAAACCCCAUGUCUUAAUUACCUGUUUCUUUGGCGGGCUUGCCCGUCAGAAGUUUUCUCAAACCCAUUAUAAAUGUGUCAUCUGAAUAACAAACAAAAUAAAUUAAAACUUUCAACAACGGAUCUCUUGGUUCUG
rnacentral:misc_RNA from 1 species